AUUUUUGUAAAAGUCAUCAGCAACAUGUUCUUGUACAUGCUUAUUUAGCUAAUAUAGAAGCUCUAUUGGUUACAAAAAUGCAAGAGGGCUAGCAGCCUAGCACUAGCUUUUAGUGUAUAUGGUUGAAUUAAGUUAAUAAUAGGAAAAAAUUGCGGAUGUCAUUGCUAAUGGGUUAACGGUUGUGAUGUUGCAGGCGCAACACCUUGUCUUUUGGUGCAGUGGGAUUUAAGAGCUUCUCUACAAAAUAAAUCCCCUUUAGAACAGCUUAGCUAGCAAUUGUGCAUGUUGUUUCAACAUUUCACACAGAAAAAUAAACCUAAUUAUUUUUUGAUAUUUUUUUGUUCACUCUUCCUUGAAAGCCUGUUUAGGUUAUCAUGGAAUUUGCGAGUUCUUUGAAACAAGGCAGUUUACAUCAAAGAACAAUCAACAAUGUCAAGUAAACAUCAUCAAAGUAAGUUCAUAUUUUAAUUAGGUAUAUCAAAACCUAAUUGUCUUUUUAAUUUUUUUUGUUCACAUUUUAGAUUUAUUUACCCGGAGUUGCUAGAUUAUUUAAUUAGGUUUGCUGCAUUGUGUUCGUAUAUUUUUUGAUUUGUUGAACUAAAAAAAUCUAGAGAAACAUCAGUGCUUGAUUGUGGGAUGGAAUCUCGGUCAUUCUUUGAUGUUGUAAUAUUAGGGCUUCUCCAAAUUUUAGGGCUUCUCAAUGGCUUCUUUGGAAAUCUAUCUAUGAUAUAUAAAACGUUUGCAAAGCCUGAAUACUAUUCAUUAGCAAUUAGAUGAAUAGUGUUUUUGAUGACUUGGCAUCCCACAACAUCAAUUGCUGCCACUUCACCAAAAUCUCUUCUAUUAUCUAUGCCGAUCAGGUCCCAUGCGCCACCUCUACUGCUUUACUUUGCUGACAUUUCAUAGACAUUUAAUAUAGGGAGAGUUUGGAUGAAAAGAGAGACUAAAAGUGUGGAUGAUAAUUAUAUAGGAGAGUUUGGAGUCAUAUCUUGACAAGUAAAUGUAGUGAAUUCAAAUUAGGAGGAAGCAAAAGUGGAUAUUGUAGCAAAUUCGAUGGUACAUAGGUGUUAUAUAUGUAUCUGUUACUAAAUGGAUUGGAACCUUGUGGUGUUUUUAUAUACACACAUUAUCUUUGUUGUUAUACUUUGAAUUCAACCUCCUCAAUUUGAUGGCUAUAGACAAAUUAUUCGUAACUAGGUUGCUAACUUGUGUCCUUUAGCAACAUUAGGAUUUACUUUUAUUGAAUGGAAGUUAUACAACUGUAGGACAAGGGUAGAAUAUGGUUCUACACUACCCGUGUGUCAUCUCAUAAGCUACAGAUGCCACUGUCUACCUUAUAGUUAUAACUCAUACACUAGAUAGUAGGUGAUGGUGCUUCUAAGAUGACAAUUAAUUUCUUUAAUUUUAUCCCUUUUUCUUAGUCUUUAAGUAGUUUUGAGUAUACAAAGGUUGCUAGGUAAUGGAUAUAUAGAUAAUAGAUAGAUAGAUAUUAGAUAGUAGAUAGAUAGAUAGAUAAGACCACAUCUCUGCAUAUGAUACCUUUGUUCAGGUUGAUGCUGGAAUUAAGGAAGCAAACAAGAUUCCUGAGGGUAGCAGCUUGUAUGUGGGUGAUAUUAACUACUAUCACAAGCCUCUGCUUUGCAGUAAAUGGGCCUUCACAUAUGAGGAGUGGCCGGAGGAAGAUUAUCCACCUUAUGCAAAUGGACCAGGUUACAUAUUGUCACCGAUGUCACACAAUUCAUUGUUUCCGAGUUUGAGAAACACAAACUAAGGUUAUUCAAGAUUGGAAGAUGUGAGCGAAGGAAUGUGGAUUGAGCGCUUUAACAGCUCGAAACCAGUGGAAUACGUACACAGCCUCAAGUUCUGCUAGUUUGAAUGUAUAGAUGACUGUUACACUGCUCAUUAUCAAUCUCUGAAACAAAUGAUCUGUUUAUGGAACAAGUUGCAACAACACGGCCGCCCUGUUAGCUGUAACAUGAGAUGAUCGUUUCAUGAAUUUCCCAAGAACCCAGUUUUCCAUUUGCCAAAACGAAUCUAUAGAGAAAGUUUUAAAACCCGGAAUCAUUUUCCCUUUUCUGCAUAUUCCUCGAAAGGUUCGGUCUUUUUAGGUUCCAUAUUCAUUCGUUAAUUGUUCUACUUCCUCUAUCUCACCGUAUUGAAGUUUUUGUGCCAUGAAUGAUCCUCGAAGACGAUGUUGAUGGUGAUGAUGAUGAUGACAAUGACGAUUGAUGAAACCUGAUGAUUGAUGAACGACAGCCUUAACCAGUUGGAGGGUUAUGUAAAAUAAUGUAAAGAAAAGCAUAAAAAUGAAUAGAAUCCCCAACAUUCCAGGUGUAUGAACCAUCUUAUGACUGUUUAAUUAGAAGGUUCGUCCUUAUAUUUAUCUGAAGAACUUUCCUGAUUUUGCUAUGUUUAUAGGCCAUGUGAAAGAGUGGUGGUUAGUUGUUAGUUUGGGAAUCAGGCAAUUGUUCUUUAUCCUUUUUUGUAUUUGUUAAUGUUAAUUCUUCAAUUUUGGCAAUACAAGAUCAUUAUCUGGUAGUUAUGAUUCGGUUAUUUGAUAAUUUGUUUGACUUA